rnacentral:rRNA from 1 species
GACGGGCCCGCACAAGCAGCGGAGCGUGUGGUUAAUUCGAUGCUACACGAAGAACCUUACCAGGGUUUGACAUGCAAGUGGUAGGAAGCCGAAAGGUGACCGACCCUUCGGGGAGCUUGCACAGGUGCUGCAUGGCUGUCGUCAGCUCGUGUCGUGAGAUGUUGGGUUAAGUCCCGCAACGAGCGCAACCCUUAUCAUUAGUUGCUACGCAAGGGCACUCUAAUGAGACUGCCGGUGACAAACCGGAGGAAGGUGGGGAUGACGUCAAGUCCUCAUGGCCCUUAUGGGUAGGGCUUCACACGUCAUACAAUGGUCGGUACAGAGGGUUGCCAAGCCGCGAGGUGGAGCCAAUCCCAGAAAGCCGAUCGUAGUCCGGAUUGUUCUCUGCAACUCGAGAGCAUGAAGUCGGAAUCGCUAGUAAUCGCGGAUCAGCAUGUCGCGGUGAAUACGUUCCCGGGUCUU